AACGAACGCUGGCGGCAUGCCUAACACAUGCAAGUCGAACGAGACCUUCGGGUCUAGUGGCGCACGGGUGCGUAACGCGUGGGAACCUGCCCUUAGGUUCGGAAUAACUCCCCGAAAGGGGUGCUAAUACCGGAUAAUGUCUUCGGACCAAAGAUUUAUCGCCUUUGGAUGGGCCCGCGUUGGAUUAGCUAGUUGGUAGGGUAAAAGCCUACCAAGGCGACGAUCCAUAGCUGGUCUGAGAGGAUGAUCAGCCACACUGGGACUGAGACACGGCCCAGACUCCUACGGGAGGCAGCAGUGGGGAAUAUUGGACAGUGAGCGAAAGCCUGAUCCAGCAAUGCCGCGUGAGUGAUGAAGGCCUUAGGGUUGUAAAGCUCUUUUACCCGGGAUGAUAAUGACAGUACCGGGAGAAUAAACUCCGGCUAACUCCGU
rnacentral:rRNA from 1 species